AUGGACGCAAGUCUGAUGGAGCAACGCCGCGUGAGUGAAGAAGGCUUUCGGGUCGUAAAACUCUGUUGUUGGAGAAGAAUGGUCGGCAGAGUAACUGUUGUCGGCGUGACGGUAUCCAACCAGAAAGCCACGGCUAACUACGUGCCAGCAGCCGCGGUAAUACGUAGGUGGCAAGCGUUAUCCGGAUUUAUUGGGCGUAAAGCGAGCGCAGGCGGUUUUUUAAGUCUGAUGUGAAAGCCCUCGGCUUAACCGAGGAAGUGCAUCGGAAACUGGGAAACUUGAGUGCAGAAGAGGACAGUGGAACUCCAUGUGUAGCGGUGAAAUGCGUAGAUAUAUGGAAGAACACCAGUGGCGAAGGCGGCUGUCUGGUCUGUAACUGACGCUGAGGCUCGAAAGCAUGGGUAGCGAACAGGAUUAGAUACCCUGGUAGUCCAUGCCGUAAACGAUGAAUGCUAGGUGUUGGAGGGUUUCCGCCCUUCAGUGCCGCAGCUAACGCAUUAAGCAUUCCGCCUGGGGAGUACGACCGCAAGGUUGAAACUCAAAGGAAUUGACGGGGGCCCGCACAAGCGGUGGAGCAUGUGGUUUAAUUCGAAGCAACGCGAAGAACCUUACCAGGUCU
rnacentral:rRNA from 2 species